rnacentral:rRNA from 1 species
UGGGGAAUUUUGGACAAUGGGCGAAAGCCUGAUCCAGCAAUGCCGCGUGUGUGAAGAAGGCCUUCGGGUUGUAAAGCACUUUUGUCCGGAAAGAAAUCCUUGGCUCUAAUACAGUCGGGGGAUGACGGUACCGGAAGAAUAAGCACCGGCUAACUACGUGCCAGCAGCCGCGGUAAUACGUAGGGUGCAAGCGUUAAUCGGAAUUACUGGGCGUAAAGCGUGCGCAGGCGGUUUGCUAAGACCGAUGUGAAAUCCCCGGGCUCAACCUGGGAACUGCAUUGGUGACUGGCAGGCUAGAGUAUGGCAGAGGGGGGUAGAAUUCCACGUGUAGCAGUGAAAUGCGUAGAGAUGUGGAGGAAUACCGAUGGCGAAGGCAGCCCCCUGGGCCAAUACUGACGCUCAUGCACGAAAGCGUGGGGAGCAAAUAGGAUUAGAUACCCUGGUAGUCCACGCCCUAAACGAUGUCAACUAGUUGUUGGGGAUUCAUUUUCCUUAGUAACGUAGCUAACGCGUGAAGUUGACCGCCUGGGGGAGUACGGUCGC